CAGUAGCCGCGGUAAUACGAAGGGUGCAAGCGUUAAUCGGAAUUACUGGGCGUAAAGCGUGCGUAGGCGGUGAGUUAAGUCUGCUGUGAAAUCCCCGAGCUUAACUUGGGAACUGCAUUUGAAACUGGCAAGCUAGAGUCUUGUAGAGGGGGGUAGAAUUCCAGGUGUAGCGGUGAAAUGCGUAGAGAUCUGGAGGAAUACCGGUGGCGAAGGCGGCCCCCUGGACAAAGACUGACGCUCAGGUGCGAAAGCGUGGGGAGCAAACAGGAUUAGAUACCCCAGUAGUCCCUGUCUCUUAUAC
rnacentral:rRNA from 1 species